UACGGAGUGUGCAAGCGGUGUUUGGAGUCAUUGGGCGUCAAGGGCGUGUAGGCGGCCUUGUAAGUGUGAUGUGAAAGCCCGGGGCUCAACCCCGGAAGUGCAAUGGAUACUGCUGGACUAGAGGUCGAGAGAGGGAAGUGGAAUUCCAGGUGUAGGGGUGAAAUCCGUAGAUAUGUGGAGGAACAUCGGAAGCGAAGGCGGCGUCCUGGCUCGUAACGGACGCUGAGACGCGAAAGCGUGGGGAGCAAACAGG
rnacentral:rRNA from 1 species